UCCAAUCAUCGCAGCUCAGAGGGCACUUUCCCUAUUGCGACACCCGGUCACCCGGUCAAUUCUUCGGUGGAUCGAG
rfam:Mycobacterium fallax strain DSM 44179 contig_60, whole genome shotgun sequence.